GUACUCGCUUCGGUGGUACAUAUACAAAAAUUGGAACGAUACAGAGUAGAUUAUCACGGACCCUGCGCAAGGAUGACACGUAAAAAAAAAAGAAAAGAUAAAAAGGA